UACGUAGGGUGCGAGCGUUGUCCGGAAUUAUUGGGCGUAAAGGGCUCGUAGGCGGUUUGUCGCGUCGGGAGUGAAAACCCAGGGCUUAACCCUGGGCUGGCUUCCGAUACGGGCAGACUAGAGGUAUGCAGGGGAGAACGGAAUUCCUGGUGUAGCGGUGAAAUGCGCAGAUAUCGGGAGGAACACCGGUGGCGAAGGCGGUUCUCUGGGCCUGACCUGACGCUGAGGAGCGAAGCGUGGGGAGCGAACAGG
rnacentral:rRNA from 1 species